ensembl:lncRNA
GGAAGCGGCGGCCGGAGGCCGGGCCCGGCAUGCCUCCGAGGAAAGCAAACCGGAGUUACGCGGCACCUCUGGUUCUGCUGGCCAAGCACACAGCACUCUAGUGAUUGUGUCGUAAAUCCUUAUAGUCUCGCGGCCACAAGAGGAAACCCUUCAUUUUAUAAAUAAACCGAAGGCUGGCCAUGCUCCAAAUUCCUUUUCUGGGAUUCCAUUUAACACAUAUUUUGGAGCAUCGUCGCGUCUGAACAUGCUGAUAGGAGGAAGCGUGUGGUUGGAGGAAGGUCACUGAGGCCCGUAGUGGUGGUGCACCUAUGGCAUGCAUGCUGCAGUACGCUGUUUGUAUCACUGAAAGUUCUAAAAGGUUUGACAUCACUGCUCCAGAGCAUGCAUGCUUCAGAACCUCCCCUUCCUUCAUCUCCUCGCCCAUAUACACAAUGAACAGAG